rnacentral:rRNA from 1 species
UCGUAGCAAUAUGAUAUGAAACCGGCGCACGGGUGCGUAACACGUAUGCAACCUACCUUUCACUGGGGAAUAGCUCCGAGAAAUCGGAAUUAAUACCCCAUAACAUUAUGACCUGGCAUCAGGAUGUAAUUAAAGCUCCGGCGGUGAUUGAUGGGCAUGCGUUGCAUUAGCUAGUUGGUGAGGUAACUGCUCACCAAGGCUACGAUGCAUAGGGGGUCUGAGAGGAUGAUCCCCCACACUGGUACUGAGACACGGACCAGACUCCUACGGGAGGCAGCAGUAGGGAAUAUUGGGCAAUGGACGCAAGUCUGACCCAGCCAUGCCGCGUGCAGGAUGAAUGUUCUAUGAAUUGUAAACUGCUUUUUUAUGGAAAGAAACCCCCGGAUGCGUUCGGGGCUGACGGUACCAUAAGAAUAAGGAUCGGCUAACUUCGUGCCAGCAGCCGCGGUAAGACGAAGGAUUCAAGCGUUGUCCGGAUUUACUGGGUUUAAAGGGUGCGUAGGCGGAAAUAUAAGUCAGUGGUGAAAUCCCGCAGCUCAACUGCGGAACUGCCAUUGAAACUGCAUUUCUUGAAUACGGUUGAGGUAGAUGGAAUGUAACAUGUAGCGGUGAAAUGCUUAGAUAUGUUACAGAACUCCGAUUGCGAAGGCAGUCUACUAAGCCGUUAUUGACGC